AGGUUUCCGUAGGUGAACCUGCGGAAGGAUCAUUACCGAGUGAGGGCCCNCUGGGUNCACCUCCCACCCGUGUUUUCCGAACCCUGUUGCUUCGGCGGGCCCGCCUCACGGCCGCCGGGGGGCUUCCGCCCCCGGGCCCGCGCCCGCCGAAGACACCUGUGAACGCUGUCUGAAGUUGCAGUCUGAGAAACUAGCUAAAUUAGUUAAAACUUUCAACAACGGAUCUCUUGGUUCCGGCAUCGAUGAAGAACGCAGCGAAAUGCGAUAACUAAUGUGAAUUGCAGAAUUCAGUGAAUCAUCGAGUCUUUGAACGCACAUUGCGCCCUCUGGUAUUCCGGAGGGCAUGCCUGUCCGAGCGUCAUUGCUGCCCUCAAGCACGGCUUGUGUGUUGGGCCCCCGCCCCCCCCCGCGCUGGGGGGGCGGGCCCGAAAGGCAGCGGCGGCACCGCGUCCGGUCCUCGAGCGUAUGGGGCUUCGUCACCCGCUCUUGUAGGCCCGGCCGGCGCCAGCCGACCCCCCUCAAUCUAUUUUUUCAGGUUGACCUCGGAUCAGGUAGGGAUACCCGCUGAACUUAAGCAUAUCAAUAAG
rnacentral:misc_RNA from 1 species